rnacentral:rRNA from 1 species
UACGUAGGGUGCAAGCGUUGUCCGGAAUUAUUGGGCGUAAAGAGCUCGUAGGCGGUCUGUCGCGUCGGCUGUGAAAACUCGGGGCUCAACUCCGAGCUUGCAGUCGAUACGGGCAGGCUAGAGUUCGGUAGGGGAGACUGGAAUUCCUGGUGUAGCGGUGAAAUGCGCAGAUAUCAGGAGGAACACCGGUGGCGAAGGCGGGUCUCGUGG